rnacentral:rRNA from 1 species
GAUGAACGCUGGCGGCGUGCCUAAUACAUGCAAGUCGAGCGAACAGAUGAGGAGCUUGCUCCUCUGACGUUAGCGGCGGACGGGUGAGUAACACGUGGAUAACCUACCUAUAAGACUGGGAUAACUUCGGGAAACCGGAGCUAAUACCGGAUAAUAUAUUGAACCGCAUGGUUCAAUAGUGAAAGACGGUUUUGCUGUCACUUAUAGAUGGAUCCGCGCCGCAUUAGCUAGUUGGUAAGGUAACGGCUUACCAAGGCAACGAUGCGUAGCCGACCUGAGAGGGUGAUCGGCCACUCUGGAACUGAGACACGGUCCAGACUCCUACGGGAGGCAGCAGUAGGGAAUCUUCCGCAAUGGGCGAAAGCUUGACGGAGCAACGCCGCGUGAGUGAUGAAGGUCUUCGGAUCGUAAAACUCUGUUAUUAGGGAAGAACAAAUGUGUAAGUAACUAUGCACGUCUUGACGGUACCUAAUCAGAAAGCCACGGCUAACUACGUG